rnacentral:rRNA from 1 species
UGAGGAAUAUUGGUCAAUGGGCGAGAGCCUGAACCAGCCAAGUAGCGUGCAGGAUGACGGCCCUAUGGGUUGUAAACUGCUUUUAUAUGGGAAUAAAGUGAGGGACGUGUCCCUUAUUGCAUGUACCAUACGAAUAAGGACCGGCUAAUUCCGUGCCAGCAGCCGCGGUAAUACGGAAGGUCCAGGCGUUAUCCGGAUUUAUUGGGUUUAAAGGGAGCGUAGGCUGUUUGUUAAGCGUGUUGUGAAAUGUAGGAGCUCAACUUUUAGAUUGCAGCGCGAACGGGCAGACUUGAGUGCGCACAACGUAGGCGGAAUUCAUGGUGUAGCGGUGAAAUGCUUAGAUAUCAUGACGAACUCCGAUUGCGAAGGCAGCUUACGGGAGCGCAACUGACGCUAAAGCUCGAAGGUGCGGGUAUCGAACAGG